ACUUCUGCAAUAAAAAGGACUAUCAAAAGGUAUCCUAUAUUUUUUACCUGCGACAUAAAGUUGAAGUCACUCCUGACACAUUCUCAACAUUUAUUUGGCAGCAAAUUCUAAAUUAGUAAUGGGCACACAUUGGUUUGAACAUGGAAGUUGUAUAUGACAAAAAUGACAAUUUUGGACUAUCCCUGAUGAAACAUGCUCUUUGGUGGGUAGGUAAUUUUUUAUGCAUAAAAGUGCAGAAAAAGUAAUGGCAGAAGUAAAAGGCAGAAGAAAGUAAUGCUGCCCAAGAGUUCUUCUGGCAUGGCAGGUAAAUGUAAUCAUACCAUUUAGAGAAAUAGCUCCAUAAACUACUGGCUCCUUCCCACUCUCUCUAGGUCCAGGUAUUCAAGGCUAUCUUAGAGACAUUCUGGUUCUUGAUUGAUUUGUUACAAGGAAGUGGCCAUCAGUCUGAGAAAGCAAAACAACUUUCCUUCAAGAUCUAGGGCACUUAUAAACUGGCAUUUUACUCUUUCCUAAUGGUUUGUCUUGGAUCAAAUUUAACUGUUUUUAUUAAUAUGUUGAAAUAACAUUAGUAUCUAACUCAUCCAUAAGUUCCCAUGUGAAAGGGAAUGGACACUGUACAAUGUACAAAAUCCAUAUUCAGUUCAAGAUCAUGCUAACAGAACUACAGUAGAGUCUCACUUAUCCAACAUAAAUGGGCUGGCAGAAUGUUGGAUAAGUGAAUAUGUUGGAUAAUAAGGAGAGAUUAAGAAAAAGCCUAUUAAACAUCAAAAUUUUACAAAUUAAGCACCAAAACAUCAUGUUAUACAACAAAUUUGACAGAAAAAGUAGUUCAUUACACAUUAAUGCUAUAUAGUAAUUACUGUAUUUACAAAUUUAGCACCAAAAUAUCAUGAUAUAUUUAAAAUAUUGACUACAAAAAUGCGUUGGAUAAUCCAGAACGUUGGAUAGGUGAGACUCUACUGUAUGUGUGUGGAAACACAUUUUUGGCUGAUGUGUAUUUGUCUGCCCCUGAUGAAUUUGACAGGAGUAUUCUUUUUAUUGCAUAUUCAUUUCUGCAAUGUUGCAGUCUUGUGUAAAGGCUGUGCACAGCACAAUCAAUACAUAGCUCCAAAUACAGAGGUAAUUGGUAAUAUAAAAAUGCAAACAUCCAUUCUCAUGAAUGCAACAGGGGAAACUGUGUAAAGAUAGAGGACUCUGGUGUAACUUGGUUGCAGUUUCAGUUUAUGGAAGCUGGCAAUUUCAGACAUGCACAUGUAAAUGUUAUAGAUUCCUCAAAGAGGCUAAGUAUUUCAGUUCUAGUUGGACACAAGUGGGAGAUAAGUGCGGAAUUAGUAAAUUUAAGAAAACAGGACAUAGCAAAUUGGGAGAAAAUGUAAGUGGAAUAUCACUAUUAGUUUGUUCUAUCUAACCUUGUGACAUUGUUAUUGAGAUUUGUUAUAAUUUUACUUCGGUUUACAAUAAUAAGAAUAGUUAAAAUGGUAUUCUAGUUCCAUCUGUCAAGAUAUAUGGUGCUUUUCUCUGGCCUUAUUUCUUUAUUGAUUGGAAAUGCAGGGACUGGGGUAAAAUGUUGCUUGACCUACUAGUGAACGUGAAGUAAUUACAGCACAGAAAGCAUAAACUGUCAUGGUUAAAUACUACUGGAUUUGAACUAGACGGAACGAGAAGGAUGGAACUGUUUUCUUCUAUCUAUGAAUCUAUUGGCAAAUUCACAUAAGUGAAUCCAUGGGGGUUUCCUGAAACUCCAGUGGACCUGCAGUUAAAUCAUACUCAUGAGGAGGUAGUGCUUGUGUGAACCAAUCCUUCCUUAUAGAGGCUAGAUCUGGCAUGGGCAAACUUUAGCCCUCCAGGUGUUUUGGACUACAAUUCCCACAAUUCCUAACAGCUGGAAGUUUGUCCAUGCCUAGAUACAUGGCAGAUGCAAUUUCUGUUAUCAAAAUGGUGGUUUCUCUCCUAAUUUCCAUAGGUCUGGGAAGCGGCUCAAACAUCUAUUCAUUCUUCUGCUUCCUUUUAUGUAUAUGGAAAUAUUUAUGUACUGUUCACAGCGUGUGAGUAUUUGAAGAGAACUUGCCUGUUUCAUGAGUUCAUUGUCACAAUCAUCUUUGUGUGCAUCCAGAUUCACAAAGCAAACCUGCAGAGAAAGAGAAAGGAAGGAAAGAAAAAGAUGGGUAGAUUCUGAAUGGCCCUUGAGAAAUCUCCCCAAAAUAUUUGGAGGAGCAGCUUGAGAAACUGCAAUUUCCGGUAUGAGAGAAUUGGCGAUCUGCAAGGACGUUGCCCAGGGUACGUCCAGAUGUUUGAUAUUUACUAUCCCUGUGGGAGGCUUCUCUUAUGUCCCUGCAUAGGGAGCUGGAGCUGACAGAGGGAGUUCACCCACUCUCCCUGGAUUCGAACCGGCAGUCUUCAGGUCAGCAACCCAACCAUCAAGUCAGCAGUCCUGCCGGCACAAAGGUUUAACCCAUUGAGCCACUGAGGGCUGAAAAGUAUCAAGAAAGCAACAUGAGAAAUCUGUCCUUUCUCUUUGUGCUUUUUCUAGAUAACACAAAAUGUAGACAUUUUCUAUGAUGAAAAAUACAUACAACUUCUACUUUUCUACUUCAUCCAUAAGCAGGGGAAAGGUUGUUGCCAGUUUGCUUCUCUGGACCAAUUUACACUGGAUACAUUCUAAUAUAGUACUGAACCAGGGUUAACCUUUAGAAGGAUGGCCUUGUGAGGUCCUCAGGAUUCUGUUCUUUCCUCUGCUGCCCAGCUAUAAGGACAUCAGAACAUUUCAGGGUUUUAAAAAAAUAAAUCAGCUACAGUUUACAUCCAAAUGCUAUAAAUUUGGUUAAUCUUAACAGUGGCUUAUUAAAACAAAAUGGGUUCAUCAAUCUAUUUGUAGUUGAUUUGGUAAGGAAAACUUAACAUUGGCCAUGAAAGAGUUGGGGGUAGCACAGGAGCCAAAAGUUUGCAAAUCACAUCAUCAUAAUCCUAAUGCAGUCAUUACCUCCAAACCACCAACUCCAAACCAGGAUACAGCAAAACUGCACUUAAUACCAUUAACCUACGUCAACAAGGGGAAGCGGAACAGGGAGGCCUUCCAAGCCCUUGCAUGGCUGUUCCAAGGAAGAAGGUUAACAUGAUGGGGUUACGUUUUGUGCUGCACUCUAUUUAUAUCUUGGCUUCCUGGCAGAUGGAGCUAUAACCUUGAGCGACAGGAAGAGCAGGCAGGAAGUCUGUCGUAAAAGUGGCUUUAUAGUCUUAUCUCUAUAUAGGUCAUCCAUUUAGGAUAAACAGCUAUCAGUGCCUCUUAAGUAAUAGACACUAGCCAGCUGGCCUGAUAGGCUGGAUCACAUUUGUGACUGAGCUCAAAUUCUCUAACUCAUACUCUCUUGAAAACAUCUUACUGUGCCAUCCAAAAAGGAGGGGCUUGAUCUUACCAAAUCCAUCUAGCCAAUUAAGUAGCAUCUUUGGCACACUUUAAAAGGUCCACUAACAAGACUAAAUGUAGGGAAGAGUUAUGCAAAGAACCCUGCCUUAUUUUUGGGGAAACAGGGUAGGAACAAUGGGUACCUGCUUGGAUAGUAACAUUUUGAUAAAUGACAAUUCACUUUACUGAUUUCAAUGGAACAUGACUCUAAGUGUUGCGUUUAGGAUUAGAUUGUGUGUGUUAUAAAAACAUGCCAACCUCAUGCAUAUCGACCUCAUGAAGCUUUACUAAGGAAAAUAUGACUGAACAUUUAAAAAGAGCAAUUUUAUAUAAAGAUACAUUUUACAUUUCAUUUCUGAACUUGAAAGCGAUAAAAAUAUUAAAGCUAACAUUAAGGCCAGAAUCUUGUUGAUGUGAAGCUUCUUAUACUGAAGCAAUUGGACAUUUCGUCCAAUACAAAAAUAGCCACAUUCGGUUCAGAAGUGGAGUUGUGUAUGUGGUGUCACUGUACAUAGUUGUGUAGUAUGGCUGAAGGUAUACAAAGCAUUUGAUGGUGAAAUUUCACAAUUCAUUAAUGACCCAACACUGCACAACAACUACCUUGUAACUCAAUGAGCAUAAAAUUAUACUUGGUGUCCUCAAUUACAGUUCUAGGCCAAAAAUGAAAAUGAUGUCAGGGGGAAAUGCUUUCAUUUCUUCAUUUGUUUUGCCAACUAGUAUGCCAGGCAGUGUACUCUCUUGUUCCCCAUAGAUCUUGACUAUCUUCAUUUGCUGAAAUCUGCGGAUCUCAAACUUCAGAUCUCAGAUUGAAGCUAUCCCCUGCAAUAAACUGUUUUCCAGCUCAGUUCUUGGUGAUAAGGAUGUCCUGUUUACUUCCUGAUUGGUACAACUUAUGUACCCAACUCUUGUAAUCACAUCCAUUAUAUGAACAUUUCAUCUUGAAUGGAGAUGGCUUCUUUCAAAAUGUUAUUCAAACAAUGGGGUUUUAGCAUGUGCAUGCAUGCUAUCAAACAAACAUAAUGAGACUUGGGCUCAUGUGCCCUCCUUCUCCAUCCUCCUUUCAACAGAUUUUUUAGACUUCUAUUAUUGCUUUGGAACAAAACAUUUUCACAUUCAUCUUAAUAUAGAUAAUACUAGUUUGUCAAGAAAGCAAAAGACCAAGCUGCAACUCUGAUAGUGUGGAUGGUUAACUAAAAUUUCACAAUGGAAUGGAAUGGAAAAUUGUAGAAUGCUAAAAAAUAAAUGAAAGAUUUGAAUUCUCUUU